AUUAAAUGCUUAUUUAAAGCCAAUACUUGAAUAUUUAAUAUAAAAUAAAUAUGUAGAUACAUUGAAGUGAAAUGUUAGUGUAUAAUAAGUGCAUAAUAUAAAAGAAAAGAUAACCAUAAAUCGAGAAAUUGUAAAAUGAAAUUUUCAACUUAAAAUGCAAAUAUCUCGAUAAAUCGUGAUCUGGAGAAUCUCAUCUACCCAACCAUACCCCUCUUAACCCUGAAAUCGUGGGAUGCAAAACUAAAGCCCACCCGUCAGAAUUAUGAACUGAACUAUAUCAUUUAAAUAUUGAAUUAAACUAUUUUUGCACUAUAUAAUGUAAAAUAAAUGUGUACAAACGAAUUAGUGAAGUGUUAGUGGAUAUAAAAGUGAAAAAUAUAAGUGUAUGAUUAAUUUAAAUCGAAAAAAUGCGUACAUUAAAUAGUUGAAAUUUUCAACUUUAAACGUAAAUAUCUCGAAAACUAUAAGUUUUUCGCGGCUAUAUCUACAUAUAUUCUUGAUCUGGAGGCUCUUCUCUAUCCGCUCAUACCUAUUUUAUCCCCUAAAGCCUGGGACGGUAUACUAAAGUUUUUUCGAAUAUAAAUAUGACAUUUUGUUUUACCGUCAGUGUACUUCCUAGUUUACUCCCAGCACUACAUAAGCUAUUCAAAGCACUGAGAUAACUUAUCCAGGCCAAGGAGCACUCGUUCAGUGCAGUCUUCGUUGAUAUUGGCGCACUACUAAUAGAUAGCGAAGAUCCAGUACUACUUAUAGAAUCUCUGGGUGCUGUCGAACCCACUGGACAACCAGCAGCACAAUCUAUUUCAUUUUCCAUUUUGCAAAUAAAAUAUUUUAUUAUUCCUUAAAUCAAAAUUUAUUACACAAAUUAAUAUCAGUAAACAAUAGAGCUGCAAAAUAAUCGAUGAGACUAUCGAUAUAAUAUUUUGACUAUUGAUGGUUUAUGCCUUAACUAGUUUUAGGCUGUGUGCCAAACGGUAAAAAAUUAAAAUUCUGGCAGAUAAGAGUAAAAUUUUAACGUUCCAAGUGGUGAAUCCGAAUGUCAGAAUUUUAUCUACCUAGCUAGGUAAGAUUUUGCCUACUUAUAGUAAAUAAAUAUGAAAACCGAUAUGCAUUCAGGAAUAAAUGAAUUUAAAAGAACAGCUGCAUACAUAACAAAUAUGUUAUAAACUAGUUUAUUAAUUCUUAAUUAUUCAUUCAGAAGUGAUACUCUUAAUAAGGAAAGUUUUUGACUUGCACUUGACGGAAUUUUUAUUAUUUAGCCGAAAUAAUGCAAACUAAAAUUAAGAUACAAGAAUUAAAUUAGUAGAUUAAAAGAUCUAAAUGUAAAUGUAUUUAUGUAUAUAUGAAAAUAUAUUGUUUACCGAAUUCAAGUAGCAUCGUAAUAGCCUAGCACGCUGCCUAAAUUUCUCAAUUAAUAACCAAUCUUUAAAUUAAUGAAUUUUUUCUUGUCUCAAUAAUAUUAAUAUGAGCAAGCAAAAUAUUUUCUUUUAAUUUAAUUCAUUUUACGAAUAUAUUCAAUAAUUUAAAUAACGUGGUUAACAUUCAAACGACGCCCCAACUCAACGCAGGGACCGUUUGGCACAUGUUACCGUUUGGCAUACAACCUUACCAACAAUUAAAAAAAAAAAUUUGCUUAAGAUAGCUAAAUAAUGAUAUUGGUGGUAACUGGUAGUCUUCAGUAAGCAGCAUGGUAUAAGGGAGUAGCGAAAGGGUAUAAAAUACGGUAGAUAUAUUUCUUUUUUAAAAAGUUAUUUAAAAUUAGCUUGUGCAACACUGUUACGCAUUGCUCAAUAGCAAUACUGGCAUUUGAAUUUAUUAACAACUUUUAGUCAAACGGACAGACAAGUUUUUUUGAAGGGUAAAUUGUCUUUUUUUAAAUGUUUUUAAUAAAAUUAUUUUAUGGGUUUUUUUCAUAGAAACAAACAAGUUAUUUCGGAUCAACAGAAGCAAUAUGCCACGCAAGUGCAUCAGAAGCUGCAAAGGCUCGUUACGUCUUUAUAAGUUUCCGGGAGUGUAUUUAUAUAAUUAUUUUUUAAGGUAUAUACGUGAAAAUAGGCCUCCUGGGGAACCGAACACCCAAAAAAAUCGGUAACGCGCCAUUUGCAUACCCCAUGGUGGUGUGGAAAAUGCAUUAUAGAUAUAAGGAAAUGUA